AAAAAGAACUAUAUAAUUUUUUUUUAAUUGUAAAACACUUGAAAAGUUUUAAGUCAGUUUAUGAUUUUGGAUUGGGCUGCAUGAUAGCUGUCUUUAGCUACAUGUUGCCCAUGGGCCACACAUACCUUGGUGACUUUAAAUCAUUUUCAGGCUUAGAGAAGAAAAUAUGUGCAUGUUCUUGAUAGACUACAAAGACCUUUACCUCAUGGCUAUUUAUGUCCUUACAGGAAGGAAAAUGGGGGAAAAGGCUACAGGCUUGAGUGCUUGACAGAGUGCGUGGAGAAACAACCUGCUACCCAACUGGGGUCCUGCUCACAGCCGCUAAAGGGAACAAUAUUUUGGCAACUUUAGGCUACUUGUUCCAAGUAAGCAGGAGUCAAGGGAAUGAAGGUGUUACAAAAAUGACCGCUCUCCUGUGCUCCUGUGCAAACACCGUUGCUGUGUCAUAAACUACAAAGCCUGGAAGGCCUGGAUGUGGGGACACAGGGAGGACCUGUGAGGUGGCUGGCACUCCUUAUGAAGCUCCCAUAUAACGAACCACGGCAUCAGACACACAAGAGACACUCUCAACAGAAUGGCAACUAAAGAAAUAUUUUGUAGAUUUCAGACAUGUGACUGCGAUUCACUUGUUGAAAAGGAAAUGUGAGACUGUCCUAGGUCCUGCACAAGCUGGAAACAGACCUCUCUCAAGUGACACUUAGACUGAGUUGUUGCUUGUGUGAAGUGAAGAACAAACUGUAAAUAUACCCAAGGAAAAUCAUCUAAAGUGACACUGUGUAAAGUCUUGGGUUAUCUGAAGAACAGGGUGUGUGAUCGAUGUGGCUACAGUGAUGUAAGUAAGGGGAUGGAGGACAUGACAGGGGAAGCCAUGGGCAAAUGAUGACGUAACGACAGUGUCUUGGGUUAUUAAAAACUCUUCAAUGUGAUGAGAAACCAUUAACGAAUGUAGGGCAGGGGCACCAAAGUAUAACUCACAUUGUGAAAGAAGCACACAGAGGCUGUGGAGAGUGAUGUAAGGAGGAGCCGAGGGGUACAGAGCAGGGAUGUGAAAUGAGGGUGCUGCAAAUGGCAUCAGCAGAGGUGGCCAGCCACUCGGCCCUGACAAACUGCUUGGGGAGUGAAAGGAAAGGAAGUCAGGGAUUCCUCCACUGCAUCUGUCUUCAGUAAAAGAAGAGAUGGAGAAUAAAUGUC